CAGCACCUCAAGUGGUCAGGAUGAUUAUUGGGCCUAAAGCAUCCGUAGCCGGCUCUGUAAGUUUUCGGUUAAAUCUGUACGCUCAACGUACAGGCUGCCGGGAAUACUGCAGCGCUAGGGAGUGGGAGAGGUAGGCGGUACUCGGUAGGAAGGGGUAAAAUCCUUUGAUCUAUUGAUGAUCACCUGUGGCGAAGGCGGUCUACCAGAACACGUCCGACGGUGAGGGAUGAAAGCUGGGGGAGCAAACCGGAUUAGAGACCCGAGUAGUCC
rnacentral:rRNA from 1 species